UGCAAAUAUAAAAGGCCCCUGCCUGUCUGUGACUCCUGUGCAAAGUCUCCCCACAGAGAAGGGAUGCAGUCAGCUAAAAGAAGCUUUCAGGGCUUAGGAUAUCCUCUGCUCUCUGCCUGGAGAGGAAACAGCUUCUGUACAGAAGGCACUUGUCUGCGACAGAUCUCUUGUAAACAGCAUAAUAGCUUGAUGUCAGACACGCUGAAGACAUCUUUAUCAGCAUCUGACUGAGAGCUUUGCUCACAUGCUCCAUGGACUCCCUAGGCCAUAGACAUACUGUGCCCACAUGGCAAACUGAGCUGAGGAAGUACACAGCCCUGUGGGAGACUG